AUCCUUUUGUAUGAUAAUGUUUUUGUUUCUAGCUCCAGGGCUUAAGCCACAAUGUUAUUUUCACUUUGGAUUCUCUCUUAAAAGGAGACUUAAAAGGUGUUAAAGGGGACCUCAAAAAACCUUUUGACAAAGCCUGGAAAGAUUAUGAAACCAAA